UUUCCGUAGGUGAACCUGCGGAAGGAUCAUUAUUGAAUAAACCUGAUGUGGUUGUAGCUGGCCCUUUCGGGAGCAUGUGCACACCCGUCGUCUUUAUCUUCCCACCUGUGCACCUUUUGUAGACCUGGAUGUAACACUUUCCGAGGCAACUCGGUCGGGAGGAAUGCUGUCAGCUUUCCUUGAAUGUCCAGGCCUAUGUUUUCAUAUACCCCAAAGAAUGUAACAGAAUGUAUUAUUGGGCCUUGUGCCUAUAAACUAUAUACAACUUUCAGCAACGGAUCUCUUGGCUCUC
rnacentral:misc_RNA from 1 species